rnacentral:lncRNA from 1 species
AUGGUGUUAGUUCUAUCUUGCAAAAAAAGAAGAGAGAAAGAAUAAGGAAAAAAAGAGUGAAAAAAAGAAAAGGAAAGAAAAUAAGAGAGAUGAGAAAAGAAGAAGAAGAAGAAGAAGAAGAAGAAGAAGAAGAAGAAAGGAGGAAAAACAAAAGAAGAGAAAUGAAAAAAUAGAAAAAUAAAGGAGAAGAAGAGAGCAAGA